GGUUGUUCUUAGUUGGCUGAAGCGAUUUGUCUGGUUAAUUCCGAUGAGAAAUAGACUUGUUAAAUAAUAGACUGAUCCUCCGUACUCAUUUACGGCGCGGAUUCUAUAACUUCUUUAUGGUGUAGUGUGAUCGUGAUCCGGCGGGUAAGAUGCCAGUUUUUACUUGUUAGAGGGACAAGCAGCACACCCAAGUUGCACGAAAUUGAGCAAUAACAUGUCUGUG
rnacentral:ncRNA from 1 species